rnacentral:rRNA from 1 species
GUAAUAAUGGCCACAGGAGGGCUUUACUGUCUCUUACUUUCAAUGCGUGAAAUUGACCUUCCCGUGAAGGGGCGGGAAUAUGACAAUAAGACGAGAAGACCCUAUGGAGCUUUAAUUAACCGACCCAAAGAGAUCUUGAUAAUCAACCGACAGGGAUAACAUACCUCUACCAUGGGCCGACAAUUUAGGUUGGGGUGACCUCGGAGAAUAAAACAACCUCCGAGUGAUUUAAAUCUAGACUAACUAGUCGAAAGUACUACAUCACUUAUUGAUCCAAAAACUUGAUCAACGGAACAAGUUACCCUAGGGAUAACAGCGCAAUCCUAUUUUAGAGUCCAUAUCGACAAUAGGGUUUACGACCUCCAUGUUGGA